CUGCUGUUCCUGCUGAAAGAAAAAAGAGAAAAACAUAAAGAGGAUACAGAAUGACCACACUAAGCACUUUAAGCAAUAAACGUUUAUGCUUUUAAAAAUGGGAAAAAAUGACAUUUAAUAAGAGAAGAAAAUGAGAAUAUCAACCCCCAUAAAGCAAAUGGUGUGGAUCAGCACAGGCUCAGCUCUGCCUGAAGUGACUUGGGCUAUUCUGGUGACUUGAAAAUUCUUAUGUGAGGAGCCCUGAGUGGGAUUAUUUGCACCUAAAGCAAUUUCCAGAAUGUGAAUGGUGACCAGAACACACAGAGGCAGAAAAGCAAACGGGAAAUAGAUGGGAGAAAUCCUGCAGUGCUGGGAUGGGCAGAGCUCUGGUCACAUCAUUCACAGAAUAAAAAAUGCAGAAACUCUGAGUUCAGCCAUUCAGCAUAAGAAGUCGAUGGACAAUCUGAACUUGAGUGGAUCAAAAAGCAAUGAAAAUAUAACCAAAAUGGAACUACCUGCCCAAACACAGCAAGCGUGUAUCACAGCUAAAGAUGUCUGUAGCCCACUGAAGGCCCAUUUGAAGCACCAAAGGCUCUGCAGUUGGCUCCUUGGCAAUGCUGCAAUGGCAGCGAUGUGGCACUUCUGUGCUCAGGCUGCGUGGGGUCACGCAGGUCCUUAGGCUGCUGUAAUGUGGAGCACUGCGAAGUUUUUAAUUUCACUGUUCUGAUACUGAAAAUGCCGUCCAAAAUUAUAUCAUCUGCCUGGCAUCUACUCUACUAAGCACUGGUCAAGGAGGAUCCUAGUGUUUGCUCAGAAGCAUAUCUCCUCCUUUACUGGGGCACUGCUGACACAGGCUCACCCUACUGCUUUGCUUUGGUCCUGCCAUCUGCCCAGGAAUGGGUUGUGAUGGCACAUGGAUUUUCUUGCACGAGCAGCAGAGAACAUAGUGCAUAACACUCAACAUCUGCAG
rnacentral:lncRNA from 1 species